rnacentral:rRNA from 1 species
UACGUAGGGGGCAAGCGUUAUCCGGAUUUACUGGGUGUAAAGGGAGCGCAGACGGCAGUGCAAGUCUGAUGUGAAAGCCCGGGGCUCAACCGCGGGACUGCAUCGGAUACUGUAGAUCUGGAGUGCCGGAGGGGCAAGCGGAAUUCCUGGUGUAGCGGUGAAAUGCGUAGAUAUCAGGAGGAACACCGGCGGCGAAGGCGGCUUUCUGGCCAGUUACUGACGCUCAUGCGCGAGAGCUGGGUUAGCGAACCGGAUUAGAUA